CCCGCCACUGCACCUGUGUCCAGGUUGUUGGCUGGUGCGGUCCAGUGGUGAGCUGAGAGGAAAAACCCAGCUUAGGAAACAGAGUUAUUCUGCCUGUGGGUGACUCUGUGCCGAAAGUUUGGGAACAUGA
rnacentral:snoRNA from 1 species